rnacentral:rRNA from 1 species
CCGGUGCAAGCGAAGUAGUCGCAGGGUUGGAAAAUCCGCCCUGCAUGAGACGAAGGCGUGAUGCGGAGCGAAAUGAAGUAGUGAAGCUGCGGCCCCUUCCUGUCGAGAAAAGCCGCUAUCGUGUAGCAAGGGCCCGUACCGUAAGCCGACACAGGUGGAUGAGGAGAGGAUCCUAAGGCCGGCGGGAGAAGUGUUGUUAAGGAACUCGGCAAAAUGACUCCGUAACUUCGGGAGAAGGAGUGCUGCGCAAGCAGCCGCAGAGAAAUGGCCCAAGCAACUGUUUAGCAAAAACACAGGUCUAUGCGAAACCGAAAGGUGAGGUAUAUGGGCUGACGCCUGCCCGGUGCUGGAAGGUUAAGGGGAGAGCUUAGCGCGAGCGAAGGUUUGAACUUAAGCCCCAGUAAACGGCGGCCGUAACUAUAACGGUCCUAAGGUAGCGAAAUUCCUUGUCGGGUAAGUUCCGACCCGCACGAAAGGCGUAAUGAUUUGGGCACUGUCUCAACAACACACCCGGUGAAAUUGAAAUACCAGUGAAGAUGCUGGUUACCCGCGCCAGGACGGAAAGACCCCAUGGAGCUUUACUCCAGCCUGAUACUGGGAUUCGGUAUUGCAUGUACAGGAUAGGUGGGAGGCUAAGAACUCAUGGCGCCAGCCGUGAGGGAGCCGAUGUUGGGAUACCACCCCUGCAGUACUGGGUUUCUAACCUGCGCCCGUGACCCGGGCGGGGGACAAUGUCAGGCGGGGAGUUUGACUGGGGCGGUCGCCUCCGAAAGGGUAUCGGAGGCGCUCAAAGGUCUCCUCAGGAUGGUUGGAAACCAUCCAGAGAGUGCAAAGGCAGAAGGAGGCUUGACUGCGACACCGACGAGUGGAGCAGGUACGAAAGUAGGACUUAGUGAUCCGGUGGCAUAAAGUGGGAUUGCCAUCGCUCAACGGAUAAAAGCUACCCUGGGAUAACAGGCUUAUCACUCCCAAGAGUUCACAUCGACGGAGUGGUUUGGCACCUCGAUGUCGGCUCAUCGCAUCCUGGAGCUGGAGCAGGUUCCAAGGGUUGGGCUGUUCGCCCAUUAAAGCGGUACGCGAGCUGGGUUCGGAACGUCGUGAGACAGUUCGGUCCCUAUCCGGCGCGGGCGCAGGAUAUCUGAGAGGAGCUGUCCUUAGUACGAGAGGACCGGGAUGGACCGUCCGCUGGUGGACCGGUUGUCAUGCCAAUGGCACGGCCGGGUAGCCAAGACGGGAAGGGAUAAACGCUGAAGGCAUCUAAGCGUGAAGCCCCCCUCAAGAUGAGAUAUCCAUACUCGAAAGAGUGAGAGACCCCUUAGAGACGAUGAGGUAGAUAGGGCAGAGAUGGAAGCACAGCGAUGUGUGGAGUUGACUGUUACUAAUCGGUCGAAAGCUUGACCAU